rnacentral:rRNA from 1 species
GAUUAACGCUGGCGGCGUGCAUAACACAUGCAAGUCGAACGAUGAAACUUUAAUGAACCCUUCGGGGAGAAUUAAAGCGGAUUAGUGGCGAACGGGUGAGUAACGCGUGAGUAACCUGCCUUACACAAGGGGAUAGCCUUUGGAAACGAAGAAUAAUACCCUAUAAAACCAUAAAAGCACAUGCAAUUAUGGUCAAAGUGAUAGCGGUGUAAGAUGGACUUGCGUCUGAUUAGCUAGUUGGUGAGAUAAAAGCCCACCAAGGCAACGAUCAGUAGCCGGCUUGAGAGAGUGUACGGCCCCAUUGGGACUGAGACACGGCCCAGACUCCUACGGGAGGCAGCAGUGGGGAAUUUUGCACAAUGGGGGAAACCCUGAUGCAGCGACGCCGCGUGAUUUAGAAGGCCUUCGGGUUGUAAAAAUCUUUUGUAUAGGAAGAAAAUGACAGUACUAUACGAAUAAGGUCCGGCUAAUUACGUG